rnacentral:rRNA from 1 species
GUGGGGAAUCUUGCGCAAUGGGCGAAAGCCUGACGCAGCCAUGCCGCGUGAAUGAUGAAGGUCUUAGGAUUGUAAAAUUCUUUCACCGGGGACGAUAAUGACGGUACCCGGAGAAGAAGCCCCGGCUAACUUCGUGCCAGCAGCCGCGGUAAUACGAAGGGGGCUAGCGUUGCUCGGAAUUACUGGGCGUAAAGGGCGCGUAGGCGGACAUUUAAGUCAGGGGUGAAAUCCCAGAGCUCAACUCUGGAACUGCCUUUGAUACUGGGUGUCUUGAGUGUGAGAGAGGUAUGUGGAACUCCGAGUGUAGAGGUGAAAUUCGUAGAUAUUCGGAAGAACACCAGUGGCGAAGGCGACAUACUGGCUCAUUACUGACGCUGAGGCGCGAAAGCGUGGGGAGCAAACAGGAUUAGAAACCCCAGUAGUCC